rnacentral:rRNA from 1 species
GGUGGCGAGUGGCGAACGGGUGAGUAAUGUAUCGGAACGUACCUUUCAGUGGGGGAUAACGUAGCGAAAGUUACGCUAAUACCGCAUAUUCUGUGAGCAGGAAAGCAGGGGAUCGCAAGACCUUGCGCUGAUUGAGCGGCCGAUAUCAGAUUAGCUAGUUGGUGAGGUAAAGGCUCACCAAGGCGACGAUCUGUAGCGGGUCUGAGAGGAUGAUCCGCCACACUGGAACUGAGACACGGUCCAGACUCCUACGGGAGGCAGCAGUGGGGAAUUUUGGACAAUGGGGGCAACCCUGAUCCAGCCAUGCCGCGUGAGUGAAGAAGGCCUUCGGGUUGUAAAGCUCUUUCGGCCGGGAAGAAAUCGCAUGCGCUAAUACCCUGUGCGGAUGACGGUACCGGCAUAAGAAGCACCGGCUAACUACGUGCCAGCAGCCGCGGUAAUACGUAGGGUGCGAGCGUUAAUCGGAAUUACUGGGCGUAAAGCGUGCGCAGGCGGUUUUUUAAGACAGGCGUGAAAUCCCCGGGCUCAACCUGGGAACUGCGCUUGUGACUGGAAGGCUAGAGUAUGGCAGAGGGGGGUGGAAUUCCACGUGUAGCAGUGAAAUGCGUAGAGAUGUGGAGGAACACCAAUGGCGAAGGCAGCCCCCUGGGCCAAUACUGACGCUCAUGCACGAAAGCGUGGGUAGCAAACAGGAUUAGAUACCCUGGUAGUCCACGCCCUAAACGAUGUCAACUAGGUGUUGGGUGGGUAAAACCAUUUAGUACCGGAGCUAACGCGUGAAGUUGACCGCCUGGGGAGUACGGCCGCAAGGUUAAAACUCAAAGGAAUUGACGGGGACCCGCACAAGCGGUGGAUGAUGUGGAUUAAUUCGAUGCAACGCGAAAAACCUUACCUACCCUUGACAUGUCCAGGAGCCUGAAGAGAUUUGGGUGUGCCCGAAAGGGAACUGGAACACAGGUGCUGCAUGGCUGUCGUCAGCUCGUGUCGUGAGAUGUUGGGUUAAGUCCCGCAACGAGCGCAACCCUUGUCGUUAAUUGCCAUCAUUUAGUUGGGCACUUUAACGAGACUGCCGGUGACAAACCGGAGGAAGGUGGGGAUGACGUCAAGUCCUCAUGGCCCUUAUGGGUAGGGCUUCACACGUCAUACAAUGGUCGGUACAAAGGGUUGCCAAGCCGCGAGGUGGAGCCAAUCCCAGAAAGCCGAUCGUAGUCCGGAUCGCAGGCUGCAACUCGCCUGCGUGAAGUCGGAAUCGCUAGUAAUCGUGGAUCAGCAUGUCACGGUGAAUACGUUCCCGGGUCUUGUACACACCGCCCGUCACACCAUGGGAGCGGGUUCCGCCAGAAGUAGGUAGCCUAACCGCAAGGGGGGCGCUUACCACGGCGGGGUUCGUGACUGGGGUGAAGUCGGAACAAGGUA